AGCCUUUCGGAGCUGUGCGGCAUUCUGAGCAGGAAUGGCAGUGUGGACCUCUGUGAUGGGACAUCUUGUGGGAUCUCACAGCCAGUUCUGUGGCAAAGGAGGAUGAAGGCUUACGAGGACUCGUCAGGAAGCUGGAUAACAGAGCGAGCGCAAUGUGCUAGAAUAGAAGACCAGAAAAUGAAAUGGUGGAGUUUGAGGCUGGAUAGACAGUUUGAAAGGGCUCCUGUGACAAGUGGACAUGCAGUGACUGCACCUUUGUUUCUGAGGUGCCUGGAUGGAGGCUCAAAUAGAAGAUGGUGUCAGAUAUAUUGUGUUAAAAUUUUACCAUUAAAGUGUAUUAUAACAUGAACUGUGAA
rnacentral:lncRNA from 1 species